rnacentral:rRNA from 1 species
CCCUUAGAUGUUCGGGGCCGCACGCGCGCUACACUGAAGGAAUCAGCACGUCUUUCUCCUUGUCCGAAAGGACUGGGUAACCCGCUGAACCUCCUUCGUGCUAGGGAUUGGGGCUUGUAAUUCUUCCCCAUGAACGAGGAAUUCCCAGUAAGCGCGAGUCAUAAGCUCGCGUUGAUUACGUCCCUGCCCUUUGUACACACCGCCCGUCGCUACUACCGAUUGGAUGGUUUAGUGAGAUCCUCGGAUUGGUCCCGGCGCGGCCUCUGGUCGUGCCGGAGUGCCGAAAAGAAUGUCGAACUUGAUCAUCUAGAGGAAGUAAAAGCCGUAACA